GGGAAGAUCCCCUGGAGAAGGGCAUGGCAACCCACUCCAGUAUUCUUGCCCGGAGAAUUCCAUGGACAGAGGAGCCUGGUGGGCUACAGUCCACGGGGUCACACAGAGUCAGACAUGACUGAUGCAACUUAGCACACACACACAUGCCUAUAGGUUCUUAGUGAAUAAUAUCUAUGCUUGAUUCAUCCUUUGAAUCCCCUGCAGCCCCAAAACAAUGCCUUAAACUGAGAGUUUGAAUGAAUGAACAACUGCUUUGAAUGAAUGAACGAAAGAUAAAUAUCCAUGUAUUGAAAAGUGUGUCUCUUGGGUGGCCUCUGUAAUCCAGGUAAUGAAGUGGUCCCCAAGUGGCUGAUACCAUAUUGAUACUAGAUGCGUCUAAGACACAGAGUUUCUUAAAGAGUGGUCACAAGGUCACCUGCUUCAGAGUUAGAUGUAUUAAUAUUUGAAAGCAAAUUCAUAGGCCCUACCCCACACCUCUUGAUUCAGCAUCUCUAGGAGUGAGGCCCCAGAGCCUGCAUCUCUUCAGACUCUCCAGAAAUAGACAUCUCUUCAAGAAAAUUAGAAAUACCAAGGGAACUUCUCAUGCAAAGAUGGGCUCAGUAAAGGACAGAAAUGUAUGGACCUAUCAGAAGCGGAAGAUAUUAAGAAGAGGUGGCAAGAAUACACUGAAGAACUAUACAAAAAAAAGAUCUACAUGACCCAGAUAAUCAUGAUGGUGUGAUCACUCACCUAGAGCCAGACAUCCUGGAAUGUGAAGUCAAGUGGGCCUCAGGAAGCAUCACUACAAACAAAGCUAGAGGAGGUGAUAGAAUUCCAGUUGAGCUAUUUCAAAUCCUAAAAGGUGAUGCUGUGAAAGUGCUGCACUCAAUAUGCCAGCAAAUCUGGAAAACUCAGCAGUGGCCACAGGACUGGAAAAGGUCAGUUUUCAUUCCAAUCCCAGAGAAAGGCAAUGCCAAAGAAUGUUCAAACUACCGCACAAUUGCACUCAUCUCACACACUAGCAAAUUAAUGCUCAAAAUUCUCCAAGCCAGGCUAAAACAGUACAUGAACCAUGAACUUCCAGAUGUUCAAGCUGGAUUUAAAAAAAGUAGAGGAACCAGAGAUCAAAUU
ensembl:lncRNA